UACGUAGGGGGCUAGCGUUGUCCGGAAUCAUUGGGCGUAAAGAGCGUGUAGGCGGCCCGGUAAGUCCGCUGUAAAAGUCAAAGGCUCAACCUUUGAAUGUCAGUGGAUACUGCCGGGCUAGAGUCCGGAAGAGGCGAGUGGAACUCCUGGUGUAGCGGUGGAAUGCGCAGAUAUCAGGAAGAACACCGAUGGCGAAGGCAGGUCUCUGGGCAUUAACUGACGCUGAGAAGCGAAAGCGUGGGGAGCGAACAGG
rnacentral:rRNA from 1 species